rnacentral:rRNA from 1 species
AUGGAUAGAUCUUGGAUUCGUGGCACACUGUUCUCUCGAGAGUACAUCAAUGGUGUCAAAGAGUUUAUGAACUUAAUUCAAGCAAAAUUCAGCGAGGAUGAAGAAAUACUAUGCCCAUGUAGAGAAUGCCUUAAUCGCAAAUACUGGCAUCAAGCUGUUGUGAACAAGCACAUAUUGACGCAUGGCAUGGAAAGUACAUAUACUCGCUGGAUAUAUCAUGGAGAAGACUUCAAUGCAGAUGUUAUUGAGCAUCCUGUUGAUGUGCAUGACUCCGAGGAUGGUAACAACGGUGCUGACCGAUUUGAAGAGAUGUUUGGCGACCUAUGCACAGCAAUAGAACAAGAUCAGAAGGAAACUAAAAAUGAAGACGGUAACAAUGAUGCAAAUCCUUCUAAGACUGAGUCCUUUCUGAAGAACGUGAGGAAAGAGUCAAAGCGGCACCUUUAUCAUGGUUGUACCAAGUUUUCAAGGUUCUCAUUUGUGGUGAAUCUUCUUCAUUUGAAGUCAUGCCAUAGGAUCACAAAUAGUGCAUUUACUGACAUUUUGAAGCUACUGGCUGAAGCAUUCCCUCAACUCAAUACACUCCCAAAAUCUUAUGACGAAGCAAAGAAUCUUCUAAAGGAAUUAGGCCUUGGGUAUGAGUCUAUACAUGUGUGCAUCAAUAAUUGUGUUUUGUUCAGAAAGCAAUAUGCCAAGCAUGACAACUGCCCAGUUUGUGGCAUGUCAAGGUGGAAAGAACCUGCUAGAAAGAAGAUACCACAAAAAGUUCUGAGGCAUUUUCCAUUGGUGCCUAGGCUGAAGAGGAUGUUUCUUUCCAAAAAAGCAUCAGAGGAAGCACAGUGGCACAAGCUAAAGAGGCAACCCAGUGAGAAGGGAAUGAGCCAUCCAGCUAACGGUGAUGCGUGGCAAGAUUUUGAUGAAAAAUAUCCAAAAUUUGCAGAAGAUGCCAGAAACAUGAGGCUUGGCAUUGCCACUGAUGGGUUCAAUCCUUUCGGAAACUUUAACACAACCUAUAGUAUGUGGCCUGUAUUUGUGGUGCCAUACAACCUUCCACCUUGGGCAUGCAUGGAUCGGUCAAAUUUCAUGAUGGCUCUGUUAAUUCCAGGUCCUAAAUCACCUGGCAAGCACUUUGAUGUCUUCCUACAACCACUUGUAGAAGAUUUACUUGAGCUUUGGAAGGGUGUGCGUACAUAUGAUGCUCGUGAAGGAAAAAUGUUUGAUCUUCAUGCUGCAGUUCUAUGGUGCAUUCAUGAUUACCCAGCUCUGAGCACUCUUUCAGGGCGUACCACAAGAGGCUAUGUUGCAUGUAUUCAUUGUAAUAAACACCCUCUUUCCUACGGCCUAAGGCACAAAAUUGGGUAUAUUGGGCAUUAUCGUUUCCUUCCAAAGGGACAUCGUUUGCGAAGAAACAAUGAAUUUGUUGGUCUUCAUGAACGCAAUGAUGAGCUAGGUAAAUUCUCAAAGGAAGAGCUACAAGCAGAAUUGGAGAAGGUUAGACCUGGGCGACAAGAAGAAAGCACGAAAAGAAAGCGUUCUGACUUGGGCAGCAAGAAGGCUCAUGUGCCAAUUUGGAGUCAGGGGGUUUGUUUGUGGGAUUUGGAUUAUUGGGAUAAAUUAAAGCUGAGACAUAAUCUUGAUGUCUUGCAUAUCGAGAAAAACAUUUGUGAAAACCUCAUUGGGACAAUUCUCAACAUGGAGGGGAAGACGAAGGACACACUUAAUGCUAGGCUUGAUCUCCAAGAUUUGAAAAUUAAAGAGGAGUUGCAUUUGAGGAAGGAUGGAAACUCAUAUGAGAUGCCUCGGGCCCGGUAUACCUUGUCUAAAGAACAAGUGGUUGCAUUUUGUCAAUUUUUACGGGAGUUAAAGUUUCCAGAUGGGUUUGCUUCCAACAUAUCCAUAUGUACAAGUGCUGAUGGAACCAAGGUCCAAGGCCUAAAAACACAUGAUUGUCACAUUCUUUUUCAAAGAAUCUUACCUGCUGGCAUGAGAGGAUUUCUGGAUAGUGAUAUAUAUGAAGCAAUAGCUGAGUUGGGCAAGUUUUUCAGGGAAUUGUGCAGCAAAACUCUUAACAGGGAUGUGUUGGCUGAAAUGAAGAAAGAAAUCCCUGUAAUUUUGUGCAAGCUUGAGAAAAUUUUCCCUCCUGCUUUCUUUGAUGUGAUGGUGCAUCUUACCGUACAUUUACCCGAAGAGGCAUUACUCCGAGGUCCCAUACAAUAUGGGUGGAUGUACCCAGUUGAAAGGAGGUUGUAUACUUUAAAGAGGUAUGUGAGGAAUAGGGCAAGACCAGAAGGUUCAAUUGCUGAGGCAUAUAUUGCCGAUGAAUGCCUGAUAUUUUGCUCCAAGUACAUGGAUGAUUUCGAAACCAUAUCUUAUCAGAAACCAAGAAAUGUAGGUUAUUUAGAUGAAGAAGCCUAUGGUGUUGACGUUUUUGGACAUGGAGUAAAUUUUACUUCAGGAUAUGAAUAUCAAUAUGUAUAUGACAGAAAAGAAUUUGAUCAAAUGAUGUGGUAUGUGUUGAACAAUUGUGGUCAAGCUCAGAAAUAUAUCGAAAUGUUCAGAGAUGAGUUAAAAAGAAAACGGGUUCCAAACAUUGAUAAAGAUCUUCAGAAAGAAUUCCAGACAUGGUUCAAGAACUAUAUCAUGAGGUUGCGGGAUGAACACAGCGAAGAAAUAGAUGAAGAUCUCUUUUCCUUGGCAUGUGAACCUGAUUGA